AAAGCAAAAGUAGCUAACCUCUCUUAACUUCUAUAUACAAAUAAUUCUUUAAUAUUGAAAAUUUUAUAUAUUUGCAUUCCCACAUUUCCAAUCAACUCAUUUGGUUCUAACAAACACCAUUGAAAUUAUUCUUUCCUCUUAUUGUUAGCACAUUCUUGAAAAAAAUUUCCAAGAAAAUAUCAGUUUGUGAUCAAAGGAUUAAUAAUAUGAUGAGGGUUUUGGUAUUUUUUCUUCUAAUUACAACAAUGGCUUCAAUUAGGGUUGAAAGUAUAAGAGUUAUGAAGGAGAAAGAUUAUCAGAAUUUGCUUCAAAACCAACUACCAAGAGGACCAGUGCCACCUUCUGAUCCAUCUCCAUGUCAUAACAAGCUUAAUCCAACUUUUAGUCAAAGCAAGUUUUCUUUUCCUCAAGAUUAUGUUAUAUGUCCUUAAUAUUAUGAUUAGUGAAUAAUAUAGUACAAUUCUUUGUUUUUGUUUCUGUUUCUGUUUCGAAAAUCAUGUCAUUUGCAUGUCACGUGUUGCUAUCAGAGUUAUAAAUACUCGAAGUAAGCUCCUGGCUCGUCCCUAUCUCUAAAGGGGCUUACUAACGAGCCGAGUAGCUGCGAGCCUCCUGGCUUUGAUCUCUAUUUUAUAGUUUGGUUAUAAUGGUAUUUAGUAGAGAGAUACAUUUCUUUCCCUGAAUAGUUUGUUGUUCUAUUUGAGGUUUUGGCUGAACGAUACUCCUUCCGGUUCAAAAUAAGUGAUUUUUUGGUUUUUUUUUGUGGUACAAAAUAAGUGAUUUUUCUAAAUUGUAAGAGUGAACUAAUUAUUUUUUUC
rnacentral:lncRNA from 1 species